rnacentral:rRNA from 1 species
GGGCGUAAAGCGCACGCAGGCGGUCUGUCAAGUCGGAUGUGAAAUCCCCGGGCUCAACCUGGGAACUGCAUUCGAAACUGGCAGGCUUGAGUCUUGUAGAGGGGGGUAGAAUUCCAGGUGUAGCGGUGAAAUGCGUAGAGAUCUGGAGGAAUACCGGUGGCGAAGGCGGCCCCCUGGACAAAGACUGACGCUCAGGUGCGAAAGCGUGGGGAGCAAACAGGAUUAGAUACCCUGGUAGUCCACGCCGUAAACGAUGUCUACUUGGAGGUUGUGCCCUUGAGGCGUGGCUUCCGGAGCUAACGCGUUAAGUAGACCGCCUGGGGAGUACGGCCGCAAGGUUAAAACUCAAAUGAAUUGACGGGGGCCCGCACAAGCGGUGGAGCAUGUGGUUUAAUUCGAUGCAACGCGAAGAACCUUACCUGGUCUUGACAUCCACAGAAGAAUCCAGAGAUGGAUUUGUGCCUUCGGGAACUGUGAGACAGGUGCUGCAUGGCUGUCGUCAGCUCGUGUUGUGAAAUGUUGGGUUAAGUCCCGCAACGAGCGCAACCCUUAUCCUUUGUUGCCAGCGGUUAGGCCGGGAACUCAAAGGAGACUGCCAGUGAUAAACUGGAGGAAGGUGGGGAUGACGUCAAGUCAUCAUGGCCCUUACGACCAGGGCUACACACGUGCUACAAUGGCGCAUACAAAGAGAAGCGACCUCGCGAGAGCAAGCGGACCUCAUAAAGUGCGUCGUAGUCCGGAUUGGAGUCUGCAACUCGACUCCAUGAAGUCGGAAUCGCUAGUAAUCGUGGAUCAGAAUGCCACGGUGAAUACGUUCCCGGGCCUUGUACACACCGCCCGUCACACCAUGGGAGUGGGUUGCAAAAGAAGUAGGUAGCUUAACCUUCGGGAGGGCGCUUACCACUUUGUGAUUCAUGACUGGGGUGAAGUCGUAACAAGGUAACCGUAGGGGAACCUGCGGUUGGAUCACCUCCUUACCUUAAAGAA